UGGGGAAUCUUGCGCAAUGGCCGAAAGGCUGACGCAGCGACGCCGCGUGCGGGAUGAAGCUCUUCGGAGUGUAAACCGCUGUUGCCCGGGAAGAAUCCGCGACAUUUGUCGCGUUGACGGUACCGGGUGAGGAAGCACCGGCUAACUCCGUGCCAGCAGCCGCGGUAAUACGGGGGGUGCGAGCGUUGUCCGGAAUCACUGGGCGUAAAGGGCGCGUAGGUGGUGUCGUAAGUCUGUGGUGAAAGCCCGGGGCUCAACCCCGGGUCUGCCGCGGAGACUGCGAGACUCGAGUGCUGUAGAGGCUGGUAGAAUGCCGGGUGUAGCGGUGGAAUGCGUAGAGAUCCGGCAGAAGACCGGUGGCGAAGGCGGCCAGCUGGGCAGCAACUGACACUGAGGCGCG
rnacentral:rRNA from 1 species